UACGGAGGGGGCUAGCGUUGUUCGGAAUUACUGGGCGUAAAGCGCACGUAGGCGGCUUUGUAAGUUAGAGGUGAAAGCCCAGGGCUUAACCCUGGAAUUGCCUUUAAGACUGCAUCGCUAGAAUCGUGGAGAGGUGAGUGGAAUUCCGAGUGUAGAGGUGAAAUUCGUAGAUAUUCGGAAGAACACCAGUGGCGUAGGCGACUCACUGGACACGUAUUGACGCUGAGGUGCGAAAGCGUGGGGAUCAAACAGG
rnacentral:rRNA from 1 species